AACGAACGCUGGCGGCGUGCCUAACACAUGCAAGUCGAACGUGAUUGGAAGCUUGCUUCCAUGAAAGUGGCGCACGGGUGAGUAACGCGUAGAUAAUCUACCUGAUGGAUCGGGAUAACACUUCGAAAGGGGUGCUAAUACCGGAUAAGCCCACGGAGUCCUUGGACACUGCGGGAAAAGGAGGGGACCUUCGGGCCUUCCGUCAUCAGAUGAGUCUGCGUACCAUUAGCUAGUUGGUAGGGUAAAGGCCUACCAAGGCGACGAUGGUUAGCUGGUCUGAGAGGAUGAGCAGCCACACUGGAACGGAGACACGGUCCAGACUCCUACGGGAGGCAGCAGUGGGGAAUUUUGCGCAAUGGGGGAAACCCUGACGCAGCAACGCCGCGUGAGUGAUGAAGGCCCUUGGGUCGUAAAGCUCUGACAGAGGGAAAGAAAUGUGGGUGGCUAAUAUCCAUUCCACUUGACGGUACCCUCAAAGGAAGCACCGGCUAACUCCGUGCCAGCCGCCGCUGUAAUAC
rnacentral:rRNA from 1 species